UACGGAGGGUGCGAGCGUUGUCCGGAAUCACUGGGCGUAAAGAGCUCGUAGGUGGUUUGUCGCGUUGUUCGUGAAAACUCACAGCUUAACUGUGGGCGUGCGGGCGAUACGGGCAGACUUGAGUACUGCAGGGGAGACUGGAAUUCCUGGUGUAGCGGUGGAAUGCGCAGAUAUCAGGAGGAACACCGGUGGCGAAGGCGGGUCUCUGGCAGUAACUGACGCUGAGGAGCGAAAGCGUGGGGAGCGAACAGG
rnacentral:rRNA from 1 species